rnacentral:rRNA from 1 species
UACAGAGGGUGCGAGCGUUAAUCGGAAUUACUGGGCGUAAAGCGCGCGUAGGCGGCUUUGCAAGUCGGGUGUGAAAUCCCCAGGCUUAACCUGGGAACUGCAUUCGAGACUGCAUUGCUAGAGUAUGGGAGAGGGAAGUGGAAUUUCCGGUGUAGCGGUGAAAUGCGUAGAUAUCGGGAGGAAUACCAGUGGCGAAGGCGGCAUCCUGGUCAUGUCCUGACGCUCAGGGGCGAAAGCGUGGGGAGCAAACCGG